ACUCCUGCGGGAGGCAGCAGUGGGGAAUAUUGGACAAUGGGCGCAAGCCUGAUCCAGCCAUGCCGCGUGAGUGAUGAAGGCCCUAGGGUUGUAAAGCUCUUUCACCGGUGAAGAUAAUGACGGUAACCGGAGAAGAAGCCCCGGCUAACUUCGUGCCAGCAGCCGCGGUAAUACGAAGGGGGCUAGCGUUGUUCGGAUUUACUGGGCGUAAAGCGCACGUAGGCGGACUAUUAAGUCAGGGGUGAAAUCCCGGGGCUCAACCCCGGAACUGCCUUUGAUACUGGUAGUCUUGAGUUCGAGAGAGGUGAGUGGAAUUCCGAGUGUAGAGGUGAAAUUCGUAGAUAUUCGGAGGAACACCAGUGGCGAAGGCGGCUCACUGGCUCGAUACUGACGCUGAGGUGCGAAAGCGUGGGGAGCAAACAGGAUUAGAUACCCUAGUAGUCCUAUGAU
rnacentral:rRNA from 1 species